rnacentral:rRNA from 1 species
UACGGAGGGGGCUAGCGUUGUUCGGAAUUAUUGGGCGUAAAGGGCGCGUAGGCGGCCGAAUAAGUCUGACGUGAAAUCCCCCGGCCCAACCGGGGAACUGCGUUUGAUACUGUUCGGCUCGAGUCCGGGAGAGGGUAGUGGAAUUCCCAGUGUAGCGGUGAAAUGCGUAGAGAUCCGGAGGAACACCAGUGGCGAAGGCGACACGCUGGGCCGUACCUGACGCUAAAGCGCGACAGCAUGGGGAGCAAACGGG